UAUAGCUUAUGAUGAUUGUUACAGCUCCCUGGAAUGGCUAUGUAGCCAAGUUACUAGUGAACCAUGGUUCAAGCUAGCUGAUCUUUCCCGUGUAUUUCUCUCUGGAGACAGUGCUGGAGGGAACAUUGUGCAUCAGGUUGCCAUCAGAGCUAUGAGGAACAAAGCUUUACAUGUUAAGAUUAAAGGGUUAUUGAUGAUACAUCCUUAUUUUGGCAGUGAAGAAAGGACUGACAGAGAGAGGGCCGAUGGUGCAGCUGGCGAUGUGGCAAUGAAUGAUAUGUUUUGGAGACUGAGCAUACCUGAUUGGUCAAACCGUGAUUAUUUCGGAUGUAACUUUGAGAAGCAAGUGGUGUCUGAAGCUGAAUGGAGAGAGUUCCCCGUGGUGGUGGUUUAUGUGGCUGGCUUGGAUUUCUUGAAGGAAAGGGGAGUAAUGUACGCUGAGUUUUUGC
rnacentral:lncRNA from 1 species